rnacentral:rRNA from 1 species
UACGAAGGGGCUAGCGUUGCUCGGAAUCACUGGGCGUAAAGCGCACGUAGGCGGAUCUUUAAGUCAGGGGUGAAAUCCUGGAGCUCAACUCCAGAACUGCCUUUGAUACUGGGGAUCUCGAGUCCGGGAGAGGUGGAGUGGAACUCCGAGUGUAGAGGUGAAAUUCGUAGAUAUUCGCAAGAACACCAGUGGCGAAGGCGGACUCACUGGCCCGGUACUGGACGCUGAGGUGCGAAAGCGUGGGGA